rnacentral:rRNA from 1 species
UGGGGAAUAUUGCACAAUGGGCGCAAGCCUGAUGCAGCCAUGCCGCGUGUGUGAAGAAGGCCUUCGGGGUGUAAAGCACUUUCAGCGGGGAGGAAGGCGAUAAGGUUAAUAACCUUGUCGAUUGACGUUACCCGCAGAAGAAGCACCGGCUAACUCCGUGCCAGCAGCCGCGGUAAUACGGAGGGUGCAAGCGUUAAUCGGAAUUACUGGGCGUAAAGCGCACGCAGGCGGUCUGUCAAGUCGGAUGUGAAAUCCCCGGGCUCAACCUGGGAACUGCAUUCGAAACUGGCAGGCUAGAGUCUUGUAGAGGGGGGUAGAAUUCCAGGUGUAGCGGUGAAAUGCGUAGAGAUCUGGAGGAAUACCGGUGGCGAAGGCGGCCCCCUGGACAAAGACUGACGCUCAGGUGCGAAAGCGUGGGGAGCAAACAGG